UGGGAGACUGCCGGUGAUAAACCGGAGGAAGCGGGGAUGACGUCAAGUCCUCAUGGCCCUUACAUCCCGGGCUACACACGUGCUACAAUGGCAGGUACAGAGGGCUGCGAAGCCGCGAGGUGGAGCGAAUCCCAGAAAACCUGUCUCAGUCCGGAUUGAAGUCUGCAACUCGACUUCAUGAAGGCGGAAUCGCUAGUAACCGCGAAUCAGCAGGUCGCGGUGAAUACGUUCCCGGGCCUU
rnacentral:rRNA from 1 species